AUGCGUGAUCAGGUCGGCAUCGACCUGGAUGGCUUCCCACUCGACCACGAGUUUCCGGACGACUACGGGCUAGAGGAAGAGGACGAGUGCGACAUCGAAGUGGAGCCUUUGUUCGAGGACGAGCUCGCCAACCAAGCCGCCGGUCCUAAGCCGAAGCGCAAGAGCAAGCGCACGAAGGCAUACACGGCUGCCGAGGACAAGCUUCUUUGCGAGUGUUGGCGAGACAUUGGACAAGUCCCCAAGACGGGCGCCGAACAAAAGCAUUCAACCUUUUGAAUUCGUGUCCCCCGAGAGUUUCAUGGGCGCAAGAAGUUUCCGCCUUACCAAUUUGUGAGCACACGUGGGUGGGUGUCCAUUUCCAAGCGAUGGAGGGUGAUCCAACAAGAGUGCAACAAGUUUUGCGCCACUCUUGAGAGCGUCAAGGCCCGCCCCGUGAGUAGCAUCGGCAUGCAAGACAUGGUAUGCUAG
rnacentral:rRNA from 1 species